rnacentral:rRNA from 1 species
CUACGGGCGGCACCAGUGGGGAAUAUUGCACAAUGGGGGAAACCCUGAUGCAGCAACGCCGCGUGGAGGAUGACGCAUUUCGGUGUGUAAACUCCUUUUAUAUAGGAAGAUAAUGACGGUACUAUAUGAAUAAGCACCGGCUAACUCCGUGCCAGCAGCCGCGGUAAUACGGAGGGUGCAAGCGUUACUCGGAACCACUGGGCGUAAAGCGCGCGCAGGCGGCCUUUUAAGUUGGAUGUGAAAGCCUAUGGCUUAACCAUAGAACUGCAUCCAAAACUAUCAGGCUAGAGUCUGGGAGGGGAAGAUGGAAUUAGUUGUGUAGGGGUAAAAUCCGUAGAGAUAACUAGGAAUACCAAAAGCGAAGGCGAUCUUCUGGAACAGUACUGACGCUGAGGCGCGAAAGCGUGGGGAGCAAACAGGAUUAGAUACCCUCGUAGUC